rfam:Brachypodium distachyon strain Bd21 chromosome 3, whole genome shotgun sequence.
AAUAUACUCCCUCCGUUUAACAAAAGAGGUCUCAAGUUUGUCAAAAUUUGGAUGUAUGUAGACAUGACUUGUGUAUAGAUGCAUUCAAAUUUAAUCAAAGUUGAGACAUCCUUUGUUGAACGGAGGAAUAAUAAU